AUUUGGGAGGGAACUGAAACAGUGUAAAAAUUUCAACUCUAAAGAGAAGUUAGAAUAUCAAAUGAUUUAAAUAAGUCAUUAUAUUGGACUAUAAAUUUCAUAAAUAAGUUACUCUCAACAAAGCUCUUAAAUAAAAAAGUUUUUAUGAUCUUUUAAAUACCUGCAUUUAUAUUUAAUACUCUUUAAAAAUAUGAUUUUUUUCCCUGAAAUCUUACAGCCAGGAUUUAGUGUUAUGAGUAUAAUUAAUCAACUUCUAAUAGCAGGUUAAAUUCAAACUACUGAGGUUUCAGUCAGUAAGUUUAUGGAACAUUGUUUUUUUUCUCAUCUAGCUAACUUGUCCUUCAAAUUGAGUUGGUUUAGUGUUAUAUGUUACUCCCUGGGGAAAACCCUAAGGGAAUUGUUGGAGAAGAAUUAUGUUUUUCACCAGGCAGACAAAAGAUGAAUUCAGGCCCUCAGAGGAUCUCCUCGGGGUGUUUUCUGCUAAUGGUGCCAGAGCCCCAUGACCAGAAGGGAGCUGCACAGCUGAGACAUGGUACCCAGAGGGCCGCUUAGAUGUUGUACCUGCCACAAUAGACACUGAGAAUAGGGAUUAAGUCCAAGCCAAUCUUUCAAGGUAGUAUAUGGGGAAUGGCUACUUUGUUUUCAUUUAAUUUGAGUCUUGGCAUAGGGCAGGAUAUUUGGUGGCCUAUUGUCCUUCUACCUAAGUUAAAGGUAGGGUUGAGUUGAUUCAUUGUCUAGAGAAAAGAGGAGUGCAACCAACUACAAUAAAAGACCUCUGCUCAUGGGUAAUAUUUCAAUAAAUAUGUGUUCCCAGUCCAGGAGCAUCACUGAGUCUCCAUAAUUGGGGGUCUGAUAUUUACCAGCCUACAACAGUGAUGUGAGUUUGAUAAAGGCUCUCCACCCAUUUAAUUGUGAGUGAAUAUUAAACAGGAAUAUGAGUCAAAAGGAAAGGACAAAGAUGAAUAUCUACUUAAGACUGACUUCUCUCAAUUGCUAUUCAAAUUCUUAGGUACUUCUGCACUUUAAGGCCAUAUCAUUCCAAUAAUAGGCAACGAAGAUGAUUUAUUCCAUUUAUGUGGAGGCAGGGAAGCAAAGAUUCCAUGAGGCCAAGCGACUUACCCUGGGGAUAUGUGGAAGAAGUUGCCCAGCCAGAAAAGGGAAUCAGAGAAGGUUGGAAUCAGAGCCCUGUGUGUUUCCAAGUUAAGAAGAGACUCGUUCCUUACGUAUAAAAACAUUUCUGCUUCUCUUCAGAUUGAUAUAGUUGAGGGAAAGUGGUUUAUGUGUCCUCCUGAGACUCUCAAAAAUGUUAGCUAUUUGUUUCCAGGACCUGCAAUCACAAAUCAUGUGUCGGUAGUACUAACACUUCCAACUUUGAGUUCUAAAUUUACUUAGUAAAUUUCAGAUUGUUCCUAUAAAUGGAUUAAAAAUGGAAUUUAAUAAAAACAAUAAAAAUCAAAAGCAACAAAGAAAAUAAAAGAUUUUCUCCCUAAGCAGAUAAGUGAUUUACAUGUUUAUUGUGGUUUUACUUUUAGAUAUUUGUCUCAACAUUGUAACUUGUAAGGUAACCCACAGAUUAUUUUACAAUCUCCUCUUCUGAGUGUUUAAAGGGCACUCAGUAAAGACUUACUGGUUGAAACACAGAUACCCCUCCCAGUUAUAGAUCGACCAGUGACUAGUAUAGAAAGUUUUAUAAUUGAUAACACAGUGUAUACACAGCUACUUAUUCAAAUAUUCAGUUAAUAAAGCACAUUUACUGGUUUAACCAAGUAAGUUGUGAUUAGAAGAAUGAGCCAGAAUUAGCCAUUAUGACUUCAACUCAGUUAGCUUUGAUAAACACCUCGUGUGAUUUCUUCUUCAAAAGAUAAAACUUUGACAACAGGAGUCUGAUGUAUGACUUUUAAAAAACAGAAAGA